rnacentral:rRNA from 1 species
UACGGAGGGUGCAAGCGUUAUCCGGAUUUACUGGGUUUAAAGGGCGCGUAGGCGGCUUUAUAAGUCGGGGGUGAAAGCCUGUGGCUCAACCACAGAAUUGCCUUCGAUACUGUAGAGCUUGAGACCGGAAGAGGUAAGUGGAACUGCGAGUGUAGAGGUGAAAUUCGUAGAUAUUCGCAAGAACACCAGUGGCGAAGGCGGCUUACUGGUCCGGUUCUGACGCUGAGGCGCGAAAGCGUGGGGAGCAAACAGG